UUGGAGGGCAAGUCUGGUGCCAGCAGCCGCGGUAAUUCCAGCUCCAAUAGCGUACAUUAAAGUUGUUGCAGUUAAAAAGCUCGUAGUUGAAUUUCGGGGUCAGUAGGUUGGUCGUGCCACCGGUACGUACUGGUCUCACUGAUUCCUCCUUCCUGAUGAGCUGUAAUGCCAUUAAUUUGGUGUUGCAGGGAAUCUGGACUGUUACUUUGAAAAAAUUAGAGUGUUUAAAGCAGGCUAACGCUUGAAUACAUUAGCAUGGAAUAAUGAAAUAGGACGUUCGAUCCUAUUUUGUUGGUUUCUAGGAUUGACGUAAUGAUUAAUAGGGAUAGUUGGGGGCAUUAGUAUUCAAUUGUCAGAGGUGAAAUUCUUGGAUUUAUUGAAGACUAACUACUGCGAAAGCAUUUGCCAAGGAUGUUUUCAUUAAUCAAGAACGAAAGUUAGGGGAUCGAAGACGAUCAGAUACCGUCGUAGUCUUAACCAUAAACUAUGCCGACUAGGGAUCGGAUGAUGUUAAUUUUUUAAUGACUCAUUCGGCGCCUUACGGGAAAC
rnacentral:rRNA from 1 species